AUUGAACGCUGGCGGCAUGCUUUACACAUGCAAGUCGGACGAGUGGCGAACGGGUGAGUAAUAUAGUGGAACGUACCGAGUAAUGGGGUAUAACCAAUCGAAAGAUUGGCUACUAGCGCAAAUUAUGCUAGCGGCCAAUAUCGGAUUAGCUAGUUGGUGGGGUAAAGGCAUACCAAGGCGACGAUCAGUAGCGGGCCUGAGAGGAAGAUCCGCCACACUGGGACUGAGACACGGCCCAGACUCCUACGGGAGGCAGCAGUGGGGAAUUUUCGACAAUGGGCGAAAGCCUGAUCGAGCCAUGCCGCGUGUCUGAAGAAGGCCUUCGGGUUGUAAAGCACUUUUGUUAGGGAAGCGGUACCUAAACAAUAAGCACCGGCUAACUACGUGCCAGCAGCCGCGGUAAUAC
rnacentral:rRNA from 1 species